rnacentral:rRNA from 1 species
UACGGGGGGCAAGCGUUGUUCGGAAUUACUGGGCGUAAAGGCUCGUAGGCGGCCAACUAAGUCAGACGUGAAAUCCCUCGGCUUAACCGGGGAACUGCGUCUGAUACUGGAUGGCUAGAGGUUGGGAGAGGGAUGCGGAAUUCCAGGUGUAGCGGUGAAAUGCGUAGAUAUCUGAGGAACACCGGUGGCGAAGGCGGCAAUCCUCGGACCAAUUCGUGACGCUGACGGAGCGAAAGCCAGGGGAGCCAAAGCGGGG